rnacentral:lncRNA from 1 species
CCAGCUUGACAAAGUUGAAGAGAGUGGGAAUAAGUGUCAUCCCCACAGACGGCGCCAAAUGUUGAUGCACAAAAUCGGUGAGGACUUUGGUACACCAGAAAGUGUCAAGUUUGUGACCUUCGCUAGAUUGCUUCUGUCACUAGUGUGGAUAAGUAUGUAAAUGGAUAGAGACAGGCAAGCAAACACAAGAUAUACGUGGUUCACCCAGAUUGGCUACGUCCACGGAGUAGAGGAGUUCUCAUUAAUUGUGAAAGGUUUACACAAGUACAUAGGUUUAAGCUCUCAUUCAGUGAGUACUAGUGAAUGAUUUAGUACAAAUGACAUUCGGGAUUAUUGUGGGAGAAUGAUCUCCUUUUAUAGAAGAGAGUUUCUAGCUUUGUUCUGGCCUUGACACGUGUCAUGCUGUGAUUGGCCUUUGAUGUUGACAUGUGUCACCUUGUGAUUGGCCUCUUAGUGUUGACACGUGUUGCGCUGUGAUUGGUUUCUUGGUUAGAGGGAAACUCUUCUGGGUCCUUGACGGUAUAACGUUGACCGGUGCUUGGUAGUUUCGGGAUUGGUCAAGUAUGGUAUAAACAAUAUCCAUAAACACUAGCAAGCUCUAAAACCCUCCAUGACUCCAUCAAAGCCAGAUCAUCUACAAACAAAAGAUAAGUACAUUCCAAAGUGAUUUUUACACACCCUUUUUAGCUUCUCAUACUGUUUGGACUCAAAAUAUUGGGUUUGGACUGAGUGUGACUUUGAGCUCGGCCUACUCGGCCCAGAAUGAAGACUUUCAGUGCCCAGGAUAGCUCUUCGAGACCACAUCAGCCCAAGGUGGGGUAGCCAAAUCCUAAUCAAUGUUUGACUCUUGGGGAGUCAGUUUGGAUUUGGUUGAGUCCUAAAUCGAGUAAAAUUGUUAAGGAUCAGGAUGAACGUUGAUAAGAUUCAUAAUAUUCCAAGAAUCAACCUUCAUAGCUGAUCAAGACCAAGAAUGAAUUAAAUACAGAAAAUGGACUAGGUUCAAAGUUCGAAGUUUUGAUAGAAGUGGCCAAGUCCGAUCCAGAGAUCAGAAUGAAGUGGUAUUGGAUCAAGGGAUGUUGAAGGAAUACAAUCCAGAUACGACUCUACCUCGACAUAAGGUGAUCAACAUGAAAACCACUCCUAUAAAUAGAAGAGGUUUUGCAACAUUUGGGGAUCUUCAACUUAACACACAAACGCGCUAUGCAAAUUCUCGCUCUACGCGAAACCCUCUUAUCUUUGAGAAAAACCCUAACCUUCCUAAUUUCGUCAAGCACAUCUUCUAGUUUGUAUAAAUAGCACUGUGCUUAAUAACCGAUGACAUUUAUAGAUUGUAUAAACAACACUGAAUCCGUAGAGUCAUGCGAUCGAGGAGCACCUUCCAGUUUGUAGAAACAACACUAGAUCGAGCUUGGUUGACUACCUAUCUAAGUUGCUACCAACAAGGAGUCUUUGAGUACUUGUUGAAAGAGGUCAUCUCACUAGCCUUCUCGCCUAAAGUGAGGUGUUCCUAGUUGGUGUUUGGCACAUUGAAAGCCGAACCUUAUUUGAACUUCGAAGUAACUAGCAACUUUGUCUUCUGGCUCUAGAGCCCAAAGGCCUAGAUGAGUUUCUUCCUCGGUCGCAAUUGCUCAGAUAACAAAAGUCAGUAGCACGUUUGACACCACCACAACAUUCACUUACUCACCGAUCGAGGUCAGUCAAUGAGUUGGCACGCCCCGCAUUCAACUGAAGGACGUAGUUAGCUCAUUAGCUAUUCGGCAUGCGCACCACGUAAGCUAAGUAGUUUUUAGGGUCAACACAUGCACUCCUCAUUAUUUAUGGCCAUUGAAUUGAAUAAAUAAAAAAGAAUCAUCGGCCAAGAUAAACAAGAGUAUGUAAGAGGCUAAAAAGGUGUGCGAAAAGCACAUCCAUAUUCAUAGUAAUAUAGGCCACGUUUGAUGUAUGGGGCUAGACUCGACUAGCUAGCUAAAUCACUAGAUUUCAUGUACCAUCAAUGAAGAAUAUGGAUAUGAUAUUCCAACUUGAAGAAUUUAAGAUGGAAUAUUCCGAAGAGGUUAUGCCAAAAACUUAUCCCAUUAAUCCCCUUUUAAAUUGUGGGAUUAGGGAGGAUAUGUUUAGGCAUCACUUAUGAGUAGUCCAUGUUAACCCUCCAAAUUAGAAGACAACACUCAUAGUCUUCCUUCAUUGCACAAUAGAUCUUGUUAUUUAGCUAGUCCAACCUAGUCUAGCCUACUUCUCCAUAUCAAAUAUGGUCAUAUGUUACAUUUAUAAGAUCUUAAUCCCAACCUAGCUAUAUUUACAUCAUCACCAAUAUAAAAUAAACUCGUAAUCAGAAAACUAUACCAUCAUCCAUAAUCAAAAGCGAGGAUAUAUAACAAUCAGGAGGAGUACUGAUGAUUAGGAAAUUUACAUCAAUCAACUUCCUAGUCUCCUAGGUUACAAAACCUGUCAUCACAGAAAAAAUACUAGCACAAUAUAAGAUGUGUAUUAUCAAUGUCUCUAUCUUGCAAUAACUGCUUGGUAACCAACAUGUGAGAGAUGAUUAUAAGAUUAGUCUUAUAUACACUCGUUGCAUGCAAGAAUCCACAAAAAUGAUUAUAAGAUGAGUGUUACAUACACUCAAUUGAUCCAAGAAUCAACAAUAGCAUAAAUCUCACAAGCAAAAAGAUAGAAAAAACUAAAUAUAUCCAUAUAUUUAUGAUAUGAGUUAAAAGAUAAAAGAACAACUAAGCAUCCCAAACCUCGUACUGGACACAUUCAGUAUGCAUACAUAAUGAAGUUAGAGAAAAUAACAAACCACACACACAGACACAUGUAUUUAUUACACCACCAAUAUGAUAACUAUACUCCCACCCUUGUCUAAUUCAGAACAACUAGCUACUCUCAUAACCCAAAGCGAAGAGUAAGAAGUAGGCCUGGCAAACGGGUCGUGUCAGUCGUGUUCGUGUAACACCUGUUAUCUUAACGGGUCGUGUCGUGUCACACCCGUUAUCUUAACGGGUCCUUAACAGGGGU